CUUCUUGGAUAAAUAUGAAGUCGUGCCUGCCCACUGAAUUAUUAAUUGAAGGGCCGCGGUAUUUUGACCGUGCAAAGGUAGCAUAAUCAUUAGUCUUUUAAUUGAGGACUGGAAUGAAUGGUUUGACGAAAUAGUGACUGUCUUUUAGUAUAUUUUGAAUUUUACUUUUGAGUCAAAAGGCUUAAAUAAUAAUUGGGGACGAGAAGACCCUAUAGAUUUUUAUUUUUAAGGUUAUGUUUAAUAUAUUAGUGGUAAUAAUUAAUAUAACUUGAGGAAUUUCGUUGGGGUGACGUGAGAAUAGGAAAAACUUCUUUUUUUAAUUACUAUGAUUUUUGGUGUAUGGAUCCUUUAUUAUGGAUAUAAGAUUAAGAUACCUUAGGGAUAACAGCGUAAUUUUAUUUGAGAGUUCUUAUCGACAAUAAAGAUUGCGACCUCGAUGUUGGAUUAAGAUAACUUUAUGGUGCAGGAGCUAAUAAAGUUAGUCUGUUC
rnacentral:rRNA from 1 species